UCGUAUGAUCACAGAAGUUAAGCAACAUUGAGCCUGGUCAGUACCUAGAUGGGUUACCACUGGUGAAUACCAGGUGGUGUAAG